CAGCCGUAAACAAUGUGCGUUAGGUGUGUCGGUAACCACGUGUUACUGAUGCGCCGAAGAGAAAUCGUGAAACGCACCACCUGGGAAGUACGGUCGCAAGGCUGAAACUUAAAGGAAUUGGCGGGGGGAGCACCACAACAGGUGGAGCCUGCGGUUUAAUUUGGACUCAACGCCGGGAAGCUCACCGGAUAGGACAGCAGAAUGAUUGCCGGGCUGAAGACCCUGCAUGACUAGCUGAGAGGUGGUGCAUGGCGUAGACGUCU
rnacentral:rRNA from 1 species